rnacentral:rRNA from 1 species
UACGUAGGGUGCAAGCGUUGUCCGGAAUUAUUGGGCGUAAAGAGCUCGUAGGCGGUUUGUCGCGUCGAAUGUGAAAACCCGGGGCUCAACCCCGGGCCUGCAUUCGAUACGGGCAGACUAGAGUUCGGUAGGGGAGUCUAGAAUUCCUGGUGUAGCGGUGAAAUGCGCAGAUAUCAGGAGGAACACCGGUGGCGAAGGCGGGACUCUGGGCCGAUACUGACGCUGAGGAGCGAAAGCGUGGGGAGCAAACAGG